GCACUGGUGACCAGGUGAUUUCACUGCUGGAGGCUAAAGCAGUUCCUGAUACCAACACUUAGCUUGCUGCUCAAGUAACCCAAGACUACUUUUCCUUGGAUGGCAAUGCCCACAGUGAGGGCCUUUCUAUAUCGAUUGGCAACACCCACUGACCCUAUUAACCAGCAACUCAUUCUACAGAAGUCGUGUUGCUAUAUAUCAGGUGAGUAGGAGAGAAUUCAUCUACGAAAGGAGCAUUUCAGAGUCUUCUCCUUCAGACCACUUCUGGCCCCAGUUGACUGUGGGAAAUGUACUGCUAAAGGAAAAUCUGUGAUGCUGUAGUUCAAUGCAUGGCAUCCUCAAAGACAACAUCUUCAGUGAAGAAAAGGUAGCACUAGAAUAUAGGAAGUUUAUGUGCUGAAACAGAACAGUCAAAACAAAGAAUCUAUCUCAUGAAUCAGUCAGUGAAUGUGACUGCCUCCUGUGGAUAGUGGCUUUGGAAAAACAGACCCUUUAGGGGGAGCUUAGGAAGCACACAUCUCUGAGUCCCUUGGUCCCUUACUUCUAUAAUGAGCUCUUUCCUUCUAACAUAAUGGUCUGAUUAACAUACCAUAAGCACACUGUAACCAUUUAGCUCAGAUAUGGAAUGUAAGGCUUUCAACUAGGUAUCAGGUAUUGCUGCCUUGGAAACAAAAGGUGGCAACGGAAAACAGAGGUGAGAGUCAGGCAUUGACAACUCUGCCACACACUCCAGAGAUGCAACUCCUUUCAUUUAGUCAUAUAUCACGCAAGAGAGACAGGUCUGGUGCCAUUCUCCUUCAUGGCGAGGGCAGAAAAACCAGCAAACAAAAGAAAACAAAAUCUAAGUCAAACAAAAAUGAAAAUCAAACAAACAAAAAAUAGUCUCUAAAUGUAAUCCCUAUCCUUUCGGCAUGCUGUUAAAACCUUAUUCCUUCUAGGAAACACCAAUUCUAAUAAGCAGGCAAGAAAUACAGCAUACGGCAGUGUAGAUAGAAUAUUUUCAGGAAUUGUGUGUAGAAAGAUUCCUUCUGGAAGAUUUAGACAAUAUCAAGGUACAUUGUUUUCUGACUUUUCCUCCAAGGGAAUCAAUAUAAUUUUGCUGUUACUGAGAGUACAGAUCUUCUGCUUUUCUCACUUCAUCCUAAGUCCAGUGAAAUUGCAAGAGUCUCCAUAUUUUCUUUUAUGUAGGGCAUAUCGCCAUUGUUCCAUUUGUUGAAUUAUGAUUAGAAAUAAUUGAAGUUUUCUUUUCUUUUUGUUGGAAAAAUUAAAAUGUAGCUGUGCUUAAAGUAUGAAAACAAAGUAAAAGGGGAAUGUAGGCCAUGAAUGACUUUGACAGAGCCUUUGGACCCAUUUAAGGAAGGACAAAGGUUUAGAAAAUACAAUACCAAAUAACAGUGAACACAUGAAGUUUACAGAGGAGUUUCCAUGCUUAUAACACCACUACUCUUACCAAAAUCAAUUCUGGAUAAAUAUCCACGUGAAUCAAUACCAGGUAUGAAGCUUGAAACAAAGUGAUUGCUUUAAACGAUUUCCAAUACAUCACAUCUUAUUAUAUUAGGAUAUGACAGGUUAUGCUGUGCUUCAUUGAGUUACAUAAUAUCAUUUUGAAUAUAACUCCAAGUCUACCUAAUGUAGGAUGAUGAAUCAGAAAAUAAAAUGGCAAGGACCCAUUUACUUCUAAAUCAUAAAUUAGAUUUCUUUGUCCACACACGAGGAAGUAAGGGAGCCAAGAGGGCUUCUAGGAUGGUAGGCUCAUUCAUGUCAAUUAACAACAACCAACCACUCUCCUUAAUUCUUUAUGGUCAUAAAAGCCUUCUGAGUCUGGAAGGACUGGCAUAAAUUAGAUAGCACCUCUGUGAACAGUGGAUAUCUGCAUGGAUCUGUGGGGGUGUGGGGUGAUCCUGUCCGAAGUAUUCUUUCAAAUCUAAAAUAUCAGAAAUCAAUUGUAGGUAAAAAUCAUUAUCUUGUCAGAAAAAACCAUGAUGGCCUGCUUUGAUUUCAUUAUAAGACAUUUUAAGUGUGGAAGUAAACUUAAUAAUCACAUGCAAAAAGAUCCCAGUCACCAUAAAAUCAGUAAAUAAAACGUGCAUUGCUAUAUAUUCCAAGAUAUGAACACAGGGAAUAAACAUUAAGAAGCAGGGUGUUUAAUUAAAGUAAGAAGAACAUGGU